CGUCCUCUGCUGUGUCCGACAGCGCGCGCAAACAUUCGCCUUGUCCCUUAAUUGCGACCGCGGGGAGGCAACCGAAGCCGGGAGUGCAUGUCUGCCUUGAGCGGAAAGCCCGAUGGCCUCCAAGCCUUCCCACUUGAACCCCGGGUUCAAGGUCGUUUCGCGAGCAUCGCCAUGGCGGAGGACGU
rnacentral:other from 1 species